AAUACGUUCCCGGGCCUUGUACACACCGCCCGUCACACCACGAAAGUGGGCAACACCCGAAGCCGGUGGCCUAACCGUAAGGAGGGAGCCGUCGAAGGUGGGGUUCGCGAUUGGGGUG
rnacentral:rRNA from 1 species